rnacentral:rRNA from 1 species
ACAUAGGGUGCAAGCGUUGUCCGGAAUUAUUGGGCGUAAAGAGCUCGUAGGUGGUUCGUUACGUCGGAUGUGAAAACCUGAGGCUCAACCUCAGGCCUGCAUUCGAUACGGGCGAACUGGAGUGUGGUAGGGGAGACUGGAAUUCCUGGUGUAGCGGUGGAAUGCGCAGAUAUCAGGAGGAACACCAAUGGCGAAGGCAGGACUCUGGGCCAUUACUGACACUGAGGAGCGAAAGCGUGGGGAGCGAACAGGAUUAGAUACCCUGGUAGUCCACGCCGUAAACGGUGGGCACUAGUUGUGGGGACCUUCCACGGUCUCUGCGACGCAGCUAACGCACUAAGUGCCCCGCCUGGGGAGUACGAUCGCAAGAUUA